rnacentral:rRNA from 1 species
GGGUAUACCGUAUGGUGAGGGAAUUCGGCAAAUUAGUCCUGUAGCUUAGGUAUAAGGGAUGCCUGCACACUUCAUGAGGAAUGGGGUGAGCAGGUUGCAAUGACAAGGGGGUUUCGACUGUUUAAUAAAAACACAGGCGACUGCUAGUCCGAAAGGAUUUGUAUAGUCGCUGAAUCCUGGCCGGUGCGGGUACCUAAAACUUGGGUUCAACCGAGCUAAGGGCCCGUUAACGCCGGGAGUAACUCUGACUCUCUUAAGGUAGCCAAAUGCCUUGUCGGGUAAGUUCCGACGCGCAUGAAUGGAACAACGAGAGCCCCACUGUCCCCACCUACAACCCGGUGAAGCCACAUAAGGUGGACGAACAGUCCAUCAACUUCCAUCGGGGAGAGAAGACCCCGUGGAGUUUUACUGCAGCUUGUGCUUGUAGUAUAGUAAAGAUUACAUAGUGUAUUUGGGAGCCAUGCCUCAUUUUCUUUGGGAAAUGAGUGAAGCAACGAUGUAACACCAAAUUAUUUUUGCAGUACUACUUACCCGGUGCAGACCGGGGACAUGUGCAGGUGGGCAGUUCGGCUGGGGCGGCACCCCUCUGAAAAAAUAUCAGAGGGGCCCAAAGUUUAGUUCAAACGGGUCAGAAAUCCGUUGAAGAGGGCAAAGCCAAAAACUAGACUGACUGGAUUUCCAAACGCACGGAAUUCAGAGACGAAAGUCGGGCUUAGCGAUCCUUCGUGUGCCCACUAUUGGGGCCCGAAGGUGACAGAAAAAUUACCCCAGGGAUAACAGGCUCGUCGCGGGCGAGAGCUCCUAUCGACCCCGCGGUUUGGUACCUCGAUGUCGGCUUUUCCUAUCCUGGUCCUGCAGCAGGGGCCAAGGGUGAGGCUGCUCGCCUAUUAAAAGGGAACAUGAGCUGGGUUUAGACCGUCGUGAGACAGGUCGGUCUCUGCCUGAUGGAAGCGUCGCUGUCUGAGGGGAAGUUGCUCUUAGUACGAGAGGAACAGAGCAUCGUCGCCGCUGGUCUACCGGUUGUCUGAUAAGGCAGGCCGGGCAGCUAAGCGAUUUAGGUUAAGUGCUGAAAGCAUCUAAGCACGAAGCCUAUCCCGAGACAUGACAGCGUUACGUUAGUUGAAGGUUCGCAGCAGAAGACUGCGUUGAUAGAAUGGAGGUGUAGAUCACAAGCUUCGGCGAGUGGUGAGCCUGCCAUUACUAAUAGACCAAAACAUCGGU